AGAGUUUGAUCCUGGCUCAGAACGAACGCUGGCGGCAGGCCUAACACAUGCAAGUCGAACGCUGUAGCAAUACAGAGUGGCGCACGGGUGCGUAACGCGUGGGAAUAUGCCCUUGACUACGGAACAACGUCGGGAAACUGACGCUAAUACCGUAUAAUGUCUUCGGACCAAAGAUUUAUCGGUCAAGGAUUAGCCCGCGUCUGAUUAGCUAGUUGGUGAGGUAACGGCUCACCAAGGCGACGAUCAGUAGCUGGUCUGAGAGGAUGAUCAGCCACACUGGGACUGAGACACGGCCCAGACUCCUACGGGAGGCAGCAGUGAGGAAUAUUGGACAAUGGGCGCAAGCCUGAUCCAGCCAUGCCGCGUGAGUGACGAAGGCCUUCGGGUUGUAAAGCUCUUUCAGAUGCGAAGAUAAUGACGGUAACAUCAGAAGAAGCCCCGGCUAAAUUCGUGCCAGCAGCCGCGGUAAUACGAAUGGGGCAAGCGUUGUUCGGAAUCACUGGGCUUAAAGCGUGCGUAGGCGGAUUUGCAAGUCAGGAGUGAAAUCCCAGGGCUUAACCCUGGAAUUGCUUUUUGAAACUGCAAAUCUAGAAUCUUGAAGAGGUUAGCAGAAUUCCGAGUGUAGAGGUGAAAUUCGCAGAUAUUCGGAGGAAUACCAAUGGCGCAGGCAGCUAACUGGGCAAGUAUUGACGCUGAGGCACGAAAGCGUGGGGAGCAAACAGGAUUAGAUACCCUAGUAGUCC
rnacentral:rRNA from 1 species